UGCAACUAUGGUUUGUGGUUUCUCAUCAG
rnacentral:piRNA from 1 species